UCACUUUGAUUACCAUGUCUUCUUCUUCUUCUAUAUUUUCUGAAAGUGAUGGCUACGAAAAAAUAGAAAGAGUUACAAAAAGAAGAUAAUGGCUCAUAUAAGUAGGUUGGUGAGGAUGUGAAAAUUCGAGGAUCCUUGUUCGUAGAUAGUGAAAGUGUUGAAAAAAUAGACAAAUCAAAAGUAGUGAGAGAGGUCUAGUGUUCGGGUUGAGUUGUUACUAUGCAGUAGAGCUGAUCAAGCUUUCUAUAGAAAAAAUGAUUUUGAAUUUUUUUUACAUAUAUAGUUGUAUUUUGGAAGGACUUUAAGUCAAAUUAUCUUUUACUAAAUUUGAGUAUGAUGUGCUAAAUCAGUUAAACUCUGCACUGUCUCAAUUCCACCCAAACGGUUGGGCUUUCUUAAGAUGUUUUGAGAUUUUGAUGGAAUUUCUGGAAGUGAAAUCUUCGUUGGAGUUAUUCUUUACCCCUUUUCAGGCUAAAGGGGUUUGGAAGGAGGUGAAAAAUAUUCGGGGGGUGUUUGCAGCGAGUUUAAAAAGCUCGUUUAAAAAUAAAAAAAUGUUGAAAAGGAAGGUUCAUCAUCUAACCCAAGUGGAGACAGAGUGGUCGAAAUUAGUCAAUCAGCCCCGAAGAGAAAAAACAUUGUGUUUAAAAAGAAAAAAACUGACUUAAUUACCAAAGAUAUGGGUGACGACUUAUAUGUGAAAGGUAAAGAGAUUUCUUUAGAAGAGCUAAAUGCUUUUGAAUAAACAAGAGAAAUUGUAUGGUUUUUCCAAUGGAGGGGAUGGAUCUUCAGUUUGGGAUCGGAAUUUCCCUUUUAUGGUCGUUGCUGAUGAGAUUUUUCAAUCAACAUCUGAUGUGAUGUUAGUCAAUGACGUUAGUGAUAUUGGAGUUGAUCAAUCUCUUCAGGUUCUCAGAUUUCGAUUAGGAAGCAUUAGCCAAAGUCAAGAAGAAAAACAUAAAAAGAUGUUAAAGAAGACUAAUGAUUUGGAGGGCUUGAAAGAAGAUUUGGAUUUGAAGAAAAAAAUUAUAGAUAAAUUGAAAAAGAAUUUUGCAAGAAAAAGAGGAGGAACUAAUGGUGAUUAAGAGUUCUUAUGAGAAAGAUACAAAACUGUUGAAGAAAAAAGAAGGUGAUCUUUCUAGCAUGAAAGAUCAAUCGAUUGAAGUGACUAUGAAAUGGAAGAAUUUUGAAAAAGUAGAGAGACGGAGAUUUUGAAUGCCUUUGUCAAAGGUUUUGAACGAGCAGUGACACAAGCAAAAUUUUUGGUUCCGACCAUGAUUUUUUCCAAAUGGAUCCAGGCAAAGUAGUGUGCAAUGGAAUGCUUAUGGAUGAUGAUGAUAAUGAUGAGGAAGGAAACGAAAAUUUCACAGAAUAAUUGUUAGUUCGUGUUUGCAUAAUACUUUAUUUUAAUGCUUUUGAAUGUUUGAUAAGUUGUAUUUUGAAGACAUUCAUUUUGUUUAAUGAAUGUAAACUUUGGUCAUCGAUCUUGUGAUGAUUUGAUUUUCGUGAUGAGCA